GGUAGGGUCCACCAGCUGUCCACCAGGCUGUCGUUCACUCAUUUCCUAUGCCACCGAUGGGACACGCGUCGCUAGUAGAAGCCGGAGGCACGCGCGCGUUCUAGCCUCCGGAGGAAACCAAUCAUUUUCCCUUCUCAACCCGCGUUUUUCCCUUUAGCCUCCAAAGGUGGCCCUGCAGCUGCCAUCCGUGUCUCCCCUGCAGGAGGCCCCAAGUCAGAAGAAGAGAAACCACACCCAAGUCAGAAGCUCCUUGGCUAGCCUACCCAAGCCAAACCCGAGCCUUUCCCUUAGCCGUUGAAGAUUGCCCUGGAGGAGACACCAUUCAGAAGAAGAAGACGAUGAUGAUGCCAGACCCAUAGGCUACGAUGGACAUCUCGAUGUUGAUGAGAAUGCACUUAAGUCGGAUGAAGCCAUGUGGGCCUUCUAUGAGUACUGGUGCAAGUAUCAUGGCAUAUCGCGUGACCGUCGCGAGAUGGAACGCCGGUUCAAGAGAUUCAGUAAUAUUGCAAGGAUUGUGCACAAGUUCAACAGCACUAGUGAUUGGAGUGCCGAGGCGUCAAUGACCAUAUUUUCAGACAUGACCAAGGAGGAGGUAUCGCGUAGAAUUGGUGGACUUAGAAGUAGGCGUCCCUUAAGCCCUUAGUUAUGCUUCCGUAUGCCAAGACAUGCCUUAUCUAGCAGUACUGUGCGUUUCUUUGUUGUUAAACUCAUUCUAGCUUUACUAAAAGCUAUGUUUGUAUCUGUAUGUAUAUUGGACAAAUAUAUUUCGCUUUGUUGUAUGAACUGAGUGAGCUUUAAGAAAUACGUAGUAUACCUCUGUUGUUGUUUUC